CUGUGGACACUAUUAGACUGCAUGGAGUACUAUGUACACGAUGUAGACCGCAUGGAGUACUAUGUAGAGUAUAUAGAGUAUAGAGUACUAUGUAGAGUAUAUAAAGUACACAGUAAAGAGUACUCCAACUAUAGGGGGAUCACACUCCUCAGCCUCCCUGGGAAAGUCUAUUCCAGGGUGCUGGAGAGAAGGGUACGACCGUUAAUCGAACCUCGGCUACAGGAGGUGCAAUGUGGUUUUCGUCCUGGUCGCGGAACACUGGACCAGCUCUACACCCUUGCAAGGGUCCUGGAGGGUACUUGGGAGUUUGCCCAACCGGUCUACAUGUGCUUUGUGGACCUGGAAAAGGCAUUCGCCGUGUCCCUCGCGGUGUCCUGUGGGGGGUGCUCCGGGAGUAUGGGAUUGGUGGCGCGCUACUACGUGCCAUUCAGUCCUUGUACAACCGGAGCAGGAGCCUGGUUCGCAUUGCCAGUAGUAAGUCAAGCCUGUUUCCGGUGAACGUUGGCCUCCGCCAAGGCUGCCCUUUGUCACCGAUUCUGUUCAUAAUUUUCAUGGGCAGAAUUUCUAGGUGCAGCCAAGGUGUCGAGGGAGUCCAGUUCGGGGGCACUAGGAUCUCAUCUCUGCUAUUUGCAGACGAUGUGGUCCUGAUGGCCUCAUCGGGCUGUGACCUGCAGCGUUUACUGGGACGGUUUGCAUCUGAGUGUGAAGCUUCUGGGAUGAGACACAGCACCUCCAAAUCCGAGGCCAUGGUUCUCAGUCGGAAAAGGGUGGAUUGCUCCUUCCGGGUUGGGAAUGAGGUCCUGCCCCAGGUGGAGGAGUUCAAGUAUCUCGGGGUCUUGUUCACGAGUGAGGGAAGGUUGGAGCGUGAGGUCGAUAGGCGGAUCGGCGCAGCGUCUGCAGUAAUGUGGUCGCUGUACCGGACCGUCGUGGUGAAGAGAGAGCUGAGCCGGAAGGCAAAGCUCUCAAUUUACCGUUCAAUCUAUGUUCCCACCCUCACCUAUGGUCAUGAGCUUUGGGUCAUGACCGAAAGAACGAGAUUGCGGAUACAAGCGGCUGAAAUGAGUUUUCUUCGUAGGGUAGCGGGACUCACCCUAAGAGACAGGGGGAGGAGCUUGGUUAUCCGGGAGGAGCUCAGAGUAGAGCCGCUGCUCCUUCACAUCGAGAGGAGCCAGCUGAGGUGGCUCGGGCAUCUAGUCCGGAUGCCUCCCGGACGCCUCCCUGGUGAGGUGUUUCGGGCAUGCCCAGCCGGGAGAAGGCCCCGGGAAAGACCUAGGACACGCUGGAGGGAUUAUGUCUCACAGCUGGCCUGGGAACGCCUUGGUGUCCUCCCGGUGGAGCUGGAGGAGGUGGUCGGGGACCGGGAAGUCUGGGCUUCCCUACUGAGACUGCUGCCCCUGCGACCCGGACCCGGAUGAGCAGAGGAAAAUGGAAUGGAAUGGAGUAAAGAGUACUAUGUAGAGUAUAUAGAGUACUAUGUGGAGUAUAUAGAGUACACAGUAAAGUGUACUAUGUAGAGUAGUUGGUGAAGACGUGAAUGAAGUCAGGCUCCCUUGACCCCGCCUUCAGUCUCAGGUGUGUUGCGUGUUUUCCCCGCCCAUCGGUGACGUGUGAGCGUACCAAGGCUGGUGCGGCAUUUGUGUUGAUGUUCCUCUCGUGUGCAUCAGGCUGAGAGCGAGUUGCAGCGAGCCACCAUGGACGCCACGCGCACCACACGCCAACUGGAGGAGACCAUGGACGAGUUUGAGAAGCAAAAGAUCCGAGACAUCAAGUGGAGAUGUCCUUCCACGCCAAGGCCUUGGAGUUCUACACGCUAGCCUAUC